GAUGAAGAACGUAGCGAAAUGCGAUAAGUAGUGUGAAUUGCAGAAGUACCGUGAAUCAUCGAAUCUUUGAACGCAAAUUGCACUCUCUGGUAUUCCGGGGAGUAUGCCUGUUUGAGGGUCGCUUAACAAACCAUCGAUUUCGUUGCUUUUUUUUUAAAAAGUGAUGUUUAUCGGAUUUGAGCCGUCUUUUUUUUUUAUAUUUAAGUGGCUUAAAAUUGAUUUUUUUGGUACGAUCGAAGCGUAUUUUUAUGAUCAAUUUUUGGUUAAAGAAACGCACACGUACCGUUAUUUAUAUGAUGUAAUACGUUUGACUAUUGGAUUUAGUUCAUUCGUAUACGAUAUUUUUCAAUAUUUGACCUCAAAUCAGGUAAGAACACCCGCUGAACUUAAGCAUAUCCGGAGGA
rnacentral:misc_RNA from 1 species